rnacentral:rRNA from 1 species
GAUGAACGCUGGCGGCGUGCCUAAUACAUGCCAGUCGAGCGAACAGACGAGGAGCUUGCUCCUCUGACGUUAGCGGCGGACGGGUGAGUAACACGUGGAUAACCUACCUAUAAGACUGGGAUAACUUCGGGAAACCGGAGCUAAUACCGGAUAAUAUAUUAAACCGCAUGGUUCAAUAGUGAAAGACGGUUUUGCUGUCACUUAUAGAUGGAUCCGCGCCGCAUUAGCUAGUUGGUAAGGUAACGGCUUACCAAGGCGACGAUGCGUAGCCGACCUGAGAGGGUGAUCGGCCACACUGGAACUGAGACACGGUCCAGACUCCUACGGGAGGCAGCAGUAGGGAAUCUUCCGCAAUGGGCGAAAGCCUGACGGAGCAACGCCGCGUGAGUGAUGAAGGUCUUCGGAUCGUAAAACUCUGUUAUUAGGGAAGAACAAAUGUGUAAGUAACUAUGCACGUCUUGACGGUACCUAAUCAGAAAGCCACGGCUAACUACGUG